GCCGGCUUAGCUCAGUGGUAGAGCAACGGUUUUGUAAACCGUCGGUCUUCGGUUCAAAUCCGAAAGUCGGCUCCA
rnacentral:tRNA from 1 species